rnacentral:rRNA from 1 species
GACGAACGCUGGCGGCGUGCUUAACACAUGCAAGUCGAGCGGUAAGGCCCUUUCGGGGUACGACGAGCGGCGAACGGGUGAGUAACACGUGGGUGACCUGCCCUCAGCUCUGGGAGUAAGCCUGGGAAACGUGGGUCGUAAUACCGGAUAUGACCCACUGACGCAUGUCGUGGGGUGGAAAGCCUUGUGCGGCUGAGGAUGGGCCCGGCGGCCUAUCAGCUUGUUGGUGGGGUGAUGGCCUACCAAGGCGACGACGGGUAGCCGGCCUGAGAGGGCGACCGCCACACUGGGACUGAGACACGGCCCAGACUCCUACGGGAGGCAGCAGUGGGGAAUCUUGCGCAAUGGGCGAAAGCCUGACGCAGCGACGCCGCGUGA